rnacentral:rRNA from 1 species
UACGUAGGGCGCGAGCGUUGUCCGGAAUUAUUGGGCGUAAAGAGCUCGUAGGCGGUUUGUCGCGUCGGUUGUGAAAACCCAAGGCUCAACCUUGGGCCUGCAAUCGAUACGGGCAGACUAGAGUACUGCAGGGGAGACUGGAAUUCCUGGUGUAGCGGUGGAAUGCGCGGAUAUCAGGAGGAACACCGGUGGCGAAGGCGGGUCUCUGGGCAGUAACUGACGCUGAGGAGCGAAAGCGUGGGGAGCGAACAGG